UCUCCCCCCAGCCCCGGGAGCCGCUUCCAUCCCCCGUGGAGCGUGGGGCCGACAGCCAGCCACCCUCAGCACUCCCUCCGUCAGCGACGUCGGGAAAGAGCUUCCUCCCUGCUGUCCCUGUGGCCUCCAAGAUAAAACCCAGCCUCAGUUUCCACGCAGGGUGUCCAGUUUGCGUCUGGCCUGCCCGCCGUCCCAGUAGAGCUAAAACAACGAUUAAAGCCCGCACAGAAGUCUGCCCUCCUGCAGGCUGCACCCCUGGGCCCCCGGCUUGUUCCAGGUGAGGCUGUCCUGCCUCCUGGGCCGGUGGUUAUUACAAGAAGAAUAGGGCGACUUCCGGACCCCCCUCCUUGGGGCCCCAGAACCUCGUCCAAAUAAAAAAAAAUAAUAAUUAAAAAAAAAAUAAAAAAAAAAUAAAAAAAAAGAAGAAUAUGUACGUUGUGAACAUUUUGCAGCAUUUAUAAUUGAAAUUAUAAAUUAAAAAACACGUGUAGACC
rnacentral:lncRNA from 1 species